rnacentral:rRNA from 1 species
GUGGUUGAAAUGAUAUGAAGAACUUGUUCAGAUUUGAUUUUCAACAUUGCAAUGAGUGGCGAACGGGUGAGUAACACGUGGGAAACCUACCUCUUAGCAGGGGAUAACAUUUGGAAACAAAUGCUAAUACCGUAUAAUAAUUAAAACCGCAUGGUUUUAGUUUAAAAGAUGGUCUUGCUAUCACUAAGAGAUGGUCCCGCGGUGUAUUAGUUAGUUGGUGAGGUAAUGGCUCACCAAGACAAUGAUACAUAGCCGAGUUGAGAGACUGACCGGCCACAAUGGGACUGAGACACGGCCCAUACUCCUACGGGAGGCAGCAGUAGGGAAUCUUCCACAAUGGACGAAAGUCUGAUGGAGCAACGCCGCGUGUGUGAUGAAGGGUUUCGGCUCGUAAAACACUGUUGUAAGAGAAGAAUGACAUUGAGAGUAACUGUUCAAUGUGUGACGGUAUCUUACCAGAAAGGAACGGCUAAAUACGUG